rnacentral:rRNA from 1 species
CCUACGGGCGGCAGCAGUGGGGAAUAUUGGACAAUGGGGGCAACCCUGAUCCAGCCAUGCCGCGUGUGUGAAGAAGGCCCUCGGGUUGUAAAGCACUUUCAGUGAGGAAGAACGCCUGGUGGUUAAUACCCAUCAGGAAAGACAUCACUCACAGAAGAAGCACCGGCUAACUCCGUGCCAGCAGCCGCGGUAAUACGGAGGGUGCGAGCGUUAAUCGGAAUUACUGGGCGUAAAGCGCACGUAGGUGGCUUGAUAAGCCGGUUGUGAAAGCCCCGGGCUCAACCUGGGAACGGCAUCCGGAACUGUCAAGCUAGAGUGCAGGAGAGGAAGGUAGAAUUCCCGGUGUAGCGGUGAAAUGCGUAGAGAUCGGGAGGAAUACCAGUGGCGAAGGCGGCCUUCUGGACUGACACUGACACUGAGGUGCGAAAGCGUGGGUAGCAAACAGGAUUAGAUACCCUUGUAGUC